GACGAACGCUGGCGGCGUGCUUAACACAUGCAAGUCGAACGGAAAGGCCCUUCGGGGUACUCGAGUGGCGAACGGGUGAGUAACACGUGGGUGAUCUGCCCUGCACUUUGGGAUAAGCCUGGGAAACUGGGUCUAAUACCGAAUAUGAUCAUCGGCUUCAUGGUCGGUGGUGGAAAGCUUUUGCGGUGUGGGAUGGGCCCGCGGCCUAUCAGCUUGUUGGUGGGGUAAUGGCCUACCAAGGCGACGACGGGUAGCCGGCCUGAGAGGGUGACCGGCCACACUGGGACGGAGAGACGGCCCAGACUCCUACGGGAGGCAGCAGUGGGGAAUAUUGCACAAUGGGCGCAAGCCUGAUGCAGCGACGCCGCGUGAGGGAUGACGGCCUUCGGGUUGUAAACCUCUUUCAGCACAGACGAAGCGCAAGUGACGGUAUGUGCAGAAGAAGGACCGGCCAACUACGU
rnacentral:rRNA from 1 species